rnacentral:sRNA from 1 species
UUUUUUUUCUUAUUUUUCAAAAGGAUGAUGUUGACCUGUUUUAAGGGGGUGGAGGCAGAGUCAGCGGAUGGAUGGCUGUAUGGCUGCAGGAAGAUUUUCUCCUGGGUGUAGUUGUUUGGCCAAGUUUCCAAGUCUUCUGGGGGUCAGAUGAUAUUGCUGCUCUCUUUAAUGACCUUCAUUAAGAGCAAUGGACAGGUUUAAUCUGAAGGUUAAAUAAUAAGUGUAUUUUUCAAAUUUAUUUGUAAAAUAAAAGAUAAACCUUGGUUCGUUUUAAUGUUUUCAAUAGAACUUUUCACCACAUUUUGUUUUUAUUUUCUUGUUUGCCCGUUUUAGGGAUGUCGGAUUGUUUUAAUAACUUUGAUUGCGUGGGAAUAGAUAAUGGGUGAUUUUUCAUCCACUUUUCUUUUAUUUUUUUUCAACUAGCUGGGGGUGUGUUAAGACCUUUGGGAUCCACCAUCUCCAAUUUCACAAAGUGCGUUUCAUUUUGAUUGGAACACUCCUAGCUUCACUCCACAUUGGUGUAGUAUAAAAAUUUAGUUUAGAAAAAUUCAUUUAAAUUCUUUUGAUAAUUAUUUGAGAAAAACACUUUUUCAAAAAAGAAAAAUCUUAUCGUCUCUCGAGAAUAAGAAUAAUGUAUGUGUGUCGUUUAACUUCGUCGUCUACGUCGACGUCGUCAUUUGGAAACGAACAAAGAAAUAUUGAAAAAAUAUAUGAUGAUGAUGUGUAGUUGGUGUUAUUGCUGGCUGGCUAUGUGUUGUGUACUGCUACACCACAAAAUUGUAGAAAACGAGCAAGAAUUACGAAAUCUAAUAAAUUAAGAUUUUUUAAUUUGCUUCGUAUGAGUUUCUUUUUAAUUUCAAACACACAGUAGAACACAAAAGUUUAAAACGUUUUCUUUUCCUUUGCUGGUUUGAAUCAUUGUUUUUAAUUUCAUGGAAUUUCUACUCCUUUCCUUUCAAAGGGUCGGGUCGGUUCGGUCAUUUGCUAUAACUACAACUGCUGCUGUUUCGUUUUGUUGCACUCCACCACCACCUUUAACUCACUCACUCACUCAUAGUACAUUGGUUGAUGCGUUUGUGUGUUUUCUUUGUGUUGAAAAAUCAUCAAAUCACUCACUCACACACUCAACACACAAAAUAGUACCAAUUCUUUUUUCGACUUACUUCCACGAAAUUCAAAACAAAACUGUUUUCAUUUGUGGCAAACAACAAAAAAGUCAUUAAUUUAUAUGCUUGACACAAGUUUGGUUCUUAAAUUCACUUGUACAUCCGUUUUUCUGGUCGCUCUCUAUUGCGUCGUUAUUUGUUUUGUUUCACAGAUUAAAAAGUAC